rnacentral:misc_RNA from 1 species
GAUGAAGAACGCAGCGAAAUGCGAUAAGUAGUGUGAAUUGCAGAAUUCAGUGAAUCAUCGAAUCUUUGAACGCACAUUGCGCCCCUUGGUAUUCCAUGGGGCAUGCCUGUUCGAGCGUCAUUUGUACCUUCAAGCUUUGCUUGGUGUUGGGUGUUUGUCUCGCCUUUGCGUGUAGACUCGCCUUAAAAUAAUUGGCAGCCGGUGUAUUGAUUUCGGAGCGCAGUACAUCUCGCGCUUUGCACUCAUAACGACAGCGUCCAAAAGUACAUUUUACACUCUUGACCUCGGAUCAGGUAGGGAUACCCGCUGAACUUAAGCAUAUCAAUAAGCGGAGGA